rnacentral:rRNA from 1 species
UCAGUCGACUCCUACGGGGAGGCAGCAGUGAGGAAUAUUGGGUCAAUGGGCGCAAGCCUGAACCAGCCAUGCCGCGUGCAGGAAGACUGCCCUAUGGGUUGUAAACUGCUUUAUACAGGAAGAAACACUCCCUCGUGAGGGAGCUUGACGGUACUGUAAGAAUAAGGAUCGGCUAACUCCGUGCCAGCAGCCGCGGUAAUACGGAGGAUCCAAGCGUUAUCCGGAAUCAUUGGGUUUAAAGGGUCCGUAGGUGGAUUAGUAAGUCAGAGGUGAAAUCCUGCAGCUCAACUGUAGAACUGCCUUUGAUACUGCUAGUCUUGAGUCAUUAUGAAGUGGUUAGAAUGUGUAGUGUAGCGGUGAAAUGCAUAGAUAUUACACAGAAUACCGAUUGCGAAGGCAGAUCACUAAUAAUGUACUGACACUGAUGGACGAAAGCGUGGGGAGCGAACAGGAUUAGAUACCCUGGUAG